GUGUGCUCAUGUGUAGCUCCCCCCACUUUAUUUUUUGUUUUGUGCAAUUGUUUCUCCCUGUGCCAAUGAUGGGUGGGUUUUCCUUCUAUGUUGUGGAUGUGGAUGAACGAAGUCUUCUUGUUAUGGAUCCAGUUGAGACAAGCAUCCACGACGACGAGAUGUGCGUGAAACAUGAAGGUAACGCACACAUUGUUCUGAGUGGGCUUCGGAGGAUCCUACGUGAGCACUUUGCGGACUGGUACAUCUCAAGGAUGGCUGGAAGGUGUCGUUUGGCUACAGCAUGAACGAACCAUGUGAGAUGGAUGAUAGCUGGAUCUACCUUGGACACUACUGGAGGAACUACAACGGACUCUAUCUUGAGAGGCAACUGGGGCAGUUUGAGUUGGAUUACGUGAAGAAACAUUUUGCGUACGAGGUGAUCUCAAUGAAGGGCAACCAUGGUGAAUUUUCAAGCUUCAUGAUCGAGGAAGUUCUGUCCUAGUUGAUCAAGGAUUAUUUGUGAAAUCCAUGUGUACAUAGUAUCCGUCGUCGGGGGAGAUGAAAAAACUAAGGGCAAAAAAACUUGGUGAAUGUUUGGGUAUUCUGGUGCAGUCGACAUUUCUAGUGUUAGCCACCAUCCCAUUUUUUGGUGUGGGGGUGAUUAUUUGUCGCACUGCGUCCUGAUUACAUUAGCUAGAAUGAGGAAGACAAUUAUUAUUUUGCAUCCGAUACCUAGUGCGCGUCGGAGGGGAGGGAUUCUGUUAGUAGUGGUGUCUAAAGUUGGUUUCAGUAUCAUGUAUGUUCUGCACCAG